rnacentral:misc_RNA from 1 species
CGAGGGUAAUGAGAGUUUUCUUUUUUGUGGAACAGUUUCCAUUGUAUCGAAGAAUUCCAUCUUUCAAACUAGUGCUGUCGCCUCGCUACGGACGAACGCACUCACCGCUGUCGGUUCCAGCUCGAUCAUCAUCCAUCCUCUCCGCCAGGACCACCUUCAAGACUCAUCAACAGUGGUUCCAAGACGCCUUUCUUGAUACAGACGCGACUUCGGCGACCUGACUGAAGCCGUUGGGACUGCAUCGCCACUUCUUUUUUCUCUCAUCCCUCGAUGGAUAUGCAAUAAUUUUCUGAAAUAUUAUAUAUUAAGUUAUCCUCUAAGGAGUAUUUCACCCUCUGAGAGGGGAAUUUAUUGACAUUUAUUAUGUCCAUUGACUUGCUAAAAAUGGAUUUCAAGAUGUUACUGAGCCUCCUGGGCUGUUUGAUUUUGGUGCAUUUAACGUCAGCACAAGAAUGUGCCGUGAAUCAAUGUUCAGCCGGUCUCAACUGCUACGACAGAAAUGUGGCUGGGGAGUUACCGUAUGUCUGUGAAUGUAACGUGCCUUUUACGCAAGGCGUUGAAUGUGAUCAGUUUGCGGACAACCAGGAAGUGUUUACGUGUUAUGGAGAUUCCUGUAGAACUGGGAGCUUCAGCUCCAUCAAUUACCCUGGCCUCUACAACAACAGGUACAGGGCCCUAUACCUUCUGUACGUCCCUGGCGCCACCAGCGUUACAUUCUCCUUCAGUGACCUAUUCGACAUUGAGGAAUUCAAGGAUGAACUCUACGUCGGUGCCGGAUUGAUGUACGAGGACACCCAGAUAAACGCUGAAACAGUUCUUCCCGAUCUCUACUUCUUCGAGGGUUCAACCAAGCCCGAUGAUUUCACCAUCGCUGGCGAUGUGUUCUGGAUGUACUUUGGAACUGAUAAAAACAUUCAGAGGAAUGGCUUUGAGAUCUCCUGGUCUGCUGUUGUCGAUACCACCCCACCCGUUUUCGCCAACUGCCCCGAGAACAUUAAUGUGAAUGUCGAGAUCGGAACCCCGAGCACCACUGUGACCUGGACCGUUCCCACGGCCAUAGAUGCAAGCGCUGUCACCACGGUCUCCAGCCACAACCCCGGACAGAGCUUCAUCACAGGGACUACCACAACGGUCGUCUACACUGCCACUGACGAGUUUGGAAACAUCGGGCAGUGUGCAUUUACCAUUACUGUCACAGCAACUGAUAGCAUUGACCCCGUUGUCACCGUAUCCAGUGGUAUCAUCACCCAGCAAGUUGAGAUUGGGCUCGGAGGCGUGAACGUAUUUUACACCGAGCCGACGGCCACCGAUAACUCCGGCACCGCCGUACUGUUCAGCCGGUCUGCCCAACCAGGGGAUUUCUUUCCUGUUGGUCAAACGGUUGUAACGUACAUUUUCCAGGAUCCGUCCGGGAAUUUCGGCACUGGCACUUUUACAGUCAAUGUGGUGGAAGUCGACACUACUCCACCCGUUGUUACCGUGCCCAAUGGUAUAAUCACCCGGCAAGUUGAGAUCGGUACCUCUGGAAUCAUUGUAUUCUUCUCUGAGCCAACCGCUACUGAUAACUCUGGUACCGCCAUUCUUGAUAGCCGCACCCACCAACCCGGCGACGUCUUCCCUGUUGGUCAGACCAUUGUGACCUACACUUUUAGGGAUCCCGCUGGAAACCCAGCAACUGGAACUUUCACUAUCAAUGUCGUAGAAGUUGACACAACUCCACCAGUCAUCACUGUGCCAACUCCUUCCAUUAUCACACGACAAGUGGAAGUUGGCACUCCAGGUGUCAGCGUAUUUUACCAAGAACCUACCGCUACCGACAACUCUGGCACGGCAAUUCUCGUUUCCCGUACCAACCAACCUGGUGACGUUUUCCCUGUUGGUCAGACCGUUGUGACCUACACUUUCCAGGAUCCAUCCGGAAACCCUGCCUCUGCCACUGUCACUAUCAAUGUUGUAGAAGUCGACACCACGCCACCUGUCAUUUCCGUACCGAGUACCGUCAUCACCCGCACGGUCGAACUUGGCACCCCCGGGGUGAAUGUCUUUUACCCCGAGCCCACCGCCAGCGACAACUCCGGCACCGCCAUUCUUGUGACCCGUACCAACCAACCUGGAGACUUUUUCCCGGUGGGACAAACGGUUGUGACCUAUACUUUCCAGGAUCCCACCGGAAACCCAGCCACUGCGACCGUUACGAUUAACAUUGUUGAAGAGGACACCCAACCCCCUCAAAUCUUUGUGACCACCAACGAAGUCAUUCGCAUGGCUCCAUUCGGUUCUACCGGCAUCAACGUCUUCUAUACCGAACCUGUGGCUGUCGAUUCCUCCGGCACCGCCGAGCUCGUGAGCCGAUCGGCUCAGCCGGGCGAUUUCUUUCCAAUCGGAAACACGGUUGUAACCUAUGUGUAUCAAGACGCCUCUGGCAACCAAGCUACAGGCACUUUCACUGUUACUGUUCGAGAACAAGUCGACACCAUCGCACCUACCAUCACAGUCCCCGGAGGGAACAUUGUACGGACUGUAGAGCUGGGGAUCAGCCGUCUCUCUGUGGACUACCCUGAGCCUACCGCCACUGAUAACUCCGGGACGGCCUUCUUGGUGAGCCGCACUGCCCAGCCUGGUGAUCUCUUCCCCGUCGGGACCACCGACGUGGAGUAUGUCUUUGUUGAUGCUGCUGGCAACGAUGCAAGGGCCACAUUCACCGUGACCGUCAUUGCCAUUGACACCACCCCACCUAUCGUCAACUGUGUCAACAACGUUGUCCAGGAAGUGGAACUUGGUACCACCAGCGCCGUUGUCCAGUUCACCGAGCCAACUGCCUUUGACAUUUCUGGACAGGUUAAUUUGGUGAGCCAGACAGCCGCUCCAGGGGAUGCUUUCCCUCUAGGAACAACCACUGUGACUUAUAUCUUCAGCGAUAAUUCUAAUAACGAAGCUGAUCCCUGUUCAUUCACUGUGACCGUUACAGCAACCGAUAACACACCUCCCACCGUUAACUGCGUCAAUGACGUCACCCAGACGGUUGAGCUUGGUUCGACCAGCACCCAGGUAUUCUUCGCAGAACCUACAGCCUUUGAUAUCUCUGGAUCGGCCAACCUGGUAACACGCACAGCAGCCCCAGGAGACACCUUCCCUGUCGGCACCACGACAGUCACCUACAUCUUCAGUGACGCAGCAGGCAACCAAGCACCGGCUUGCACCUUCAAUGUGAUCAUCAGUACAGUUGACACCACUCCACCAACGGUCAACUGCGUCAGCAACAUCGUGCAGACUGUUGAGCUUGGAGUGACCAGUGUUGUCCUGAACUACGCAGAGCCAACCGCUACAGACAUCUCUGGAACUGCCUUUCUGGUGUCCCGGUCAAGUGCUCCAGGAGAUUCCUUCCCUCUAGGAUCAACCACCGUGACCUAUGUCUUCAGUGACCAGAGUGGCAACAACGCACAACCUUGUGUUUUCACCAUCACUGUCGGAACUGUUGACACCAUGACACCGAUGUUCACGAGUUGCCCAACCAACAUUGUGCAGUCAGUGGAACUUGGUAUACCAGGAACGGUCAUCAGCUGGACCGUGCCCACAGCCAGCGAUGCUGCAGGUAUCGCUUCGAUUGAAAGCAACAUCCAACCUGGCUCCUUCUUCAAUGUCGGAGAGACGGCAACCAUUCUGUACGUUGCGACCGAUAACAGCGGCCUCACUGACAACUCCUGUACAUUCACCGUCACUGUCUUUUCAGUUGACACCAUCCCGCCCACUGUGGUUUGUACCAACAAUAUCUUCCAGACUGUAGAGCUUGGUGCAAACUCUGCAGAGGUUGUGUUCACGGAACCAACAGCCAGUGAUAUCUCCGGCCAGGCCAUCCUCGUGAGCAGGACAGCUGCCUCAGGAGAUUCCUUCCCGAUCGGAACCACAACGGUGACCUACGUCUUUGCGGACAACUCCGGGAACGUCGCAGAAGACUGUUCCUUCACAAUCACUAUCACAGCCCAGGAUACCACCCCGCCAACAGUGAACUGCAUCAAUGACGUCAUCCGCACCGUAGAAUUGGGCACCACCAGUGCUCAGGUGUUCUACAGUGAACCUACAGCAUCUGAUGUUGGCCAGGCUACUCUGAUCUCCAGGACUGCCCAGCCAGGUGAUAGCUUCCCGGUUGGCGCGACCGUGGUUACCUACAUCUUUGGGGACAACGCUGGUAAUAUUGCUGAUCCUUGUGUUUUCACCAUUACUGUGAAUACAGUUGAUACAACGCCGCCAACAGUAAACUGCGUGAGCGAUGUUGUCCGUGUUGUGGAACUUGGAACCACCAGCCUCGCUGUGGUGUACACCGAGCCCACUGCCACCGAUAUCUCCGGCACGGCUUCCCUAGUUUCACGAUCCCAUACCCCUGGACAGAACUUCCCGCUUGGCUCUACUGUGGUUUCCUACUUUUUCACUGAUGCCAGUGGUAACAAUGCUGAAGUGUGUACUUUCACAGUCACCGUCACUACCCAGGAUACUAUUCCACCCACUGUAACCGACUGCCCAUCUAACAUUUUCGAAACUGUCGAACUUGGUACCCCGGGAACUAUCGUGACCUUUAACCCACCUCAAGCGACAGAUGUAUCUGGCAUUGCGUCCAUCGUCUCCAACGUCCAGUCCGGGUCGUUCAUCAGUGCCGGUGAGACCAGGCAGGUCACGUACACCGUCACCGACAACAGCGGACUCACCGACACUUCCUGCACUUUCUCCAUCACCGUCAUCGCUGUUGACACUACUCCACCUACUGUAAACAUACCAACUAGGUCAGUCACUCGUGAGGUUGAACUUGGUCAAAAUGGCAUCAAUGUGUUUUACCCAGAGCCAACAGCAACUGAUAUCUCUGGUGUUGCUAAUCUUGUAUCCCGCACCAACCAACCUGGUGACUUUUUCCCUGUUGGUCAGACCGUUGUGACCUACACUUUCCAGGAUCCUUCUGGAAACCCUGCCAUCGGCUUUCUCACUAUCAAUAUUGUCGAAGUUGACACAACUCCACCGACUAUUUCCGUCCCAAGUAGUACCGUAACCCGCGAAGUUGAACUUGGUCAAACGGGUCUCAACGUCUUUUACCCCGAACCGACUGCUACUGAUAUCUCUGGCACUGCUAAUCUUGUAUCCCGUACCAACCAACCUGGUGACUUUUUCCCUGUUGGUCAGACCGUUGUGACCUACACUUUCCAGGAUCCUUCUGGAAACCCUGCCUCUGGCACUGUCACUAUCAUUGUUACUGAAGUGGACACUACUCCACCUGUUAUCACUGUGCCAAAUAGUGUAAUCACCCAGACCGUGGAACUUGGUCAAUCGGGUACCAAUGUGAAUUACCCUGAACCCAUGGCAACUGAUAUCUCUGGCACUGCAAAUCUUGUAUCCCGGACGAACCAACCUGGUGACUUUUUCCCUGUUGGUCAGACCGUUGUGACCUACACUUUCCAGGAUCCUUCUGGAAACCCUGCCUCUGGCACAGUUACUAUCAAUGUUGUUGAAGUUGACACUACUCCACCAAGUAUUACUGUACCUAGCGAUGUAAUCACCCAGACCGUUGAGCUUGGUCAACCUGGUACUAAUGUCAAUUACCCUGAACCUACUGCAACUGAUAUCUCUGGCACUGCAAAUCUUGUAUCCCAGACAAACCAACCUGGUGACUUUUUCCCUGUUGGUCAGACCGUUGUGACCUACACUUUCCAGGAUCCUUCUGGAAACCCUGCCUCUGGCACUGUCACUAUCAAUGUUGUAGAAGUUGAUACUACUCCACCUACUAUAAAUGUACCAAGUAGUACUGUCACUCGUGAAGUUGAGCUUGGUCAAACGGGUGUCAACGUCUUCUACCCUGAACCUACUGCAACUGAUAUCUCUGGCACUGCUAAUCUUGUAUCACGUACCAACCAACCUGGUGACUUUUUCCCUGUUGGUCAGACCGUUGUGACCUACACUUUCCAGGAUCCAUCCGGAAACCCUGCCUCUGGCACUGUUACUAUCAUUGUUACUGAAGUCGACACUACUCCACCGACUAUUUCUGUACCAAGUAGUACUGUCACUCGUGAAGUUGAACUUGGUCAAACUGGUAUCAACGUCUUUUUCCCUGAACCAACUGCUACUGAUAUCUCUGGCACUGCUAAUCUUGUAUCCCGUACCAACCAACCUGGUGACUUUUUCCCUGUUGGUCAGACCGUUGUGACCUACACUUUCCAGGAUCCUUCUGGAAACCCUGCCUCUGGCACGGUUACUAUCAUUGUUACUGAAGUCGACACCACUCCACCCACUAUUUCUGUUCCAAGUAGUACUGUCACUCGUGAAGUUGAGCUUGGUCAAACUGGUGUCAAUGUCUUCUAUCCUGAACCGACUGCAUCUGAUAUCUCUGGUGUUGCUAAUCUUGUAUCCCGUACCAAUCAACCUGGUGACUUUUUCCCUGUUGGUCAGACCGUUGUGACCUACACUUUCCAGGAUCCUUCUGGAAACCCUGCCUCUGGCACUGUCACUAUCAUUGUUACUGAAGUUGACACUACUCCACCUGUUGUCACUGUACCAAAUAGUGUAAUCACACAGACAGUUGAACUUGGUCAAACGGGUACCACUGUCAAUUACCCUGAACCUACGGCUACUGAUAUCUCUGGCACUGCAAUUCUUGUAUCCCGUACCAACCAACCUGGUGACUCUUUCCCUGUUGGUCAGACCGUUGUUACCUACACUUUCCAGGAUCCUUCUGGAAACCCUGCCUCUGGCACUGUCACUAUCAAUGUUGUAGAAGUUGACACUACUCCACCAACUAUUACUGUACCUAGCGAUGUAAUCACCCAGACUGUUGAGCUUGGUCAACCGGGUACCAAUGUAAAUUACCCUGAACCUACGGCAACUGAUAUCUCUGGUGUUGCUAAUCUUGUUUCUCGGACGAACCAACCUGGUGACUUUUUCCCUGUUGGUCAGACUGUUGUGACCUACACUUUCCAAGAUCCUUCAGGAAACCCUGCCUCUGGCACAGUUACUAUCAAUGUUGUUGAAGUUGACACUACUCCACCAAGUAUUACUGUACCUAGUGAUGUAAUCACCCAGACCGUUGAGCUUGGUCAACCUGGUACCAAUGUUAAUUACCCUGAACCUACUGCAACUGACAUCUCUGGCACUGCAAAUCUUGUAUCCCGUACCAACCAACCUGGUGACUUUUUCCCUGUUGGUCAGACCGUUGUGACCUACACUUUCCAGGAUCCUUCUGGAAACCCUGCCUCUGGCACUGUCACUAUCAAUGUUGUAGAAGUUGAUACUACUCCACCUACUAUAAAUGUACCAAGUAGUACUGUCACUCGUGAAGUUGAGCUUGGUCAAACGGGUGUCAACGUCUUCUACCCCGAACCUACUGCAACUGAUAUCUCUGGCACUGCUAAUCUUGUAUCACGUACCAACCAACCUGGUGACUUUUUCCCUGUUGGUCAGACCGUUGUGACCUACACUUUCCAGGAUCCAUCUGGAAACCCUGCCUCUGGCACCGUCACUGUGAUCGUUACUGAAGUUGACACUACUCCACCGACUAUUUCUGUACCAAGUAGUACUGUCACUCGUGAAGUUGAGCUUGGUCAAACGGGUGUAAACGUCUUUUUCCCUGAACCUACUGCUACUGAUAUCUCUGGCACUGCUAAUCUUGUAUCCCGUACCAACCAACCUGGUGACUUUUUCCCUGUUGGUCAGACCGUUGUGACCUACACUUUCCAGGAUCCUUCCGGAAACCCUGCCUCUGGCACGGUCACUAUCAUUGUUACUGAAGUCGACACUACUCCACCCACUAUUUCUGUACCAAGUAGUACCGUCACUCGUGAAGUUGAACUUGGUCAAACUGGUGUCAAUGUCUUUUUCCCUGAACCUACUGCUACUGAUAUCUCUGGCACUGCUAAUCUUGUAUCCCGUACCAACCAACCUGGUGACUUUUUCCCUGUUGGUCAGACCGUUGUGACCUACACUUUCCAGGAUCCAUCCGGAAACCCUGCCUCUGGCACUGUCACUAUCAUUGUUACUGAAGUUGACACCACUCCACCUGUUGUCACUGUACCAAAUAGUGUAAUCAGCCAGACCGUUGAACUUGGUCAAUCGGGUACCAAUGUCAAUUUCCCUGAACCCACUGCAACUGAUAUCUCUGGCACUGCAAAUCUUGUAUCCCGGACCAACCAACCUGGUGACUUUUUCCCUGUUGGUCAGACCGUUGUGACCUACACUUUCCAGGAUCCUUCUGGAAACCCUGCCUCUGGCUCUGUCACUAUCAUUAUUGUAGAAGUUGACACCACUCCACCAACUAUUACUGUACCCAGCGAUGUUAUCACAGAGACGGUUGAACUUGGUCAACCGGGUACCAAUGUUAAUUACCCUGAACCCAUGGCAACUGAUAUCUCUGGCACUGCAAAUCUUGUAUCCCGUACCAACCAACCUGGUGACUUUUUCCCUGUUGGUCAGACCGUUGUGACCUACACUUUCCAGGACCCCUCUGGAAACCCUGCCUCUGGCACUGUCACUAUCAUUAUUGUAGAAGUUGACACCACUCCACCAACUAUUACUGUACCCAGCGAUGUUAUCACAGAAACGGUUGAACUUGGUCAACCGGGUACCAAUGUUAAUUACCCUGAACCCACUGCAACUGAUAUCUCUGGCACUGCAAAUCUUGUAUCCCGUACCAACCAACCUGGUGACUUUUUCCCUGUUGGUCAGACCGUUGUGACCUACACUUUCCAGGAUCCUUCUGGAAAUCCUGCCUCUGGCACUGUCACUGUCAUCGUUGUUGAAGUCGAUACCAUACCGCCCACAGUGGUAUGUACCAGUAACAUCGUCCAGACCGUAGAGCUUGGCACAGCAGUUGCUCAGGUGUUCUACACUGAGCCAACCGCUUCAGAUGUCUCUGGCGUAGCGGACCUCGUCAGCAGGACCAACAUGCCGGGGGAUUCCUUCCCGGUUGGAACCACCACGGUGACCUACGUCUUUCAGGAUGACUCUGGCAACGUUGCAGAUGAUUGUUCCUUUACGAUCACGGUAACAGCUCAGGAUACCACACCACCCUCUGUUGUCUGCACCAGCAGUAUCACCCGCACCGUCGAGCUCGGAACCACUAGCACCCCGGUGUUCUUCGUCGAACCCACUGCUACGGACAUCUCUGGAACGGCCAACCUGGUGACCAGGACGGCUGCUCCUGGAGACUCCUUCCCCGUCGGCGUCACUUCCGUCACCUACAUCUUUGCGGAUGGCGAAGGCAACCAGGCCGAUCCCUGUGUCUUCACCAUUACCGUUGAAACAGAGGACACAACCCCACCCACCGUCCAGUGCAUUGAUAACAUCUUCCGUAAUGUGGAGCUUGGAACCACCAGUCUGGUGGUCUUCUACUCGGAACCCUCUGCAACGGACAUCUCUGGACAGCCACUCCUGGACUCCCGUACCAACGCCCCAGGAGACUCCUUUCCACUUGGAACCACCACCAUCUCUUACAUCUUCACCGAUCCCAGUGGUAACGAUGCUGCUCCUUGCAUCUUCACCAUCACAAUCACUGCAACCGAUACCACUCCACCCACAGUCACCAACUGCCCCGAGAGCAUCUCUCAGUCGGUGGAGCUGGGUAGCACCGGUACAGUCAUUACCUACACCGCACCUACCGCCAUGGAUCUCUCAGGGAUCGCAUCCAUAAUCCCCAGCAUCCAGUCUGGGACAUUCUUUGCUGUAGGAGAGACCCAACAGGUCACCUACACUGUGACAGAUAACAACGGACUGAUGGAUUCCUCGUGUACUUUCACUGUCACUGUCUUUUCUAUUGACACCACUCCACCUGACGUAACCUGUGCCAUGAACAUCAUCCAAAGCGUGGAGCUUGGAACGCAGUCCGUCCCGAUCACCUACGAGGAACCAACUGCAACGGACAUCUCUGGUGUGGUCAUCUUGACCAGUCAGUCCCACUCUCCUGGAGACCUCUUCCCCGCUGACCAGACCACCACAGUGACCUACAUCUUCACUGAUGGUGCCGGAAACCAGGCCGAUCCCUGUACCUUCACCAUCCAGAUCGUAUCUGAUGACUCUACGCACCCAACUGUCAUCUGUACCAAUGAUGUUGUGCGUGUCGUGGAGCUCGGAACCGCAGGCGUAGAGGUCUUCUACCAGGUUCCCUCGGCCACAGAUAUUUCCGGUACCGAAGAGAUUAUUAGCAACAGCAACAAUCCUGGGGAUUUCUUCCCGGUUGGGGUGACCACGGUGAGCUACCUCUUUGCAGAUGCCUCAGGCAAUGUAGCUCCUGUGUGUACCUUCACCGUUACCGUCAAUACAGUCGAUACCACUCCACCAACCGUCCAGAACUGCCCCGAGGACAUCGUAGUCACCGUUGAGCUCGGAACAGCCUCCACCCCUGUUGUCUGGGCCCUGCCCACCGCUACCGACGUCUCCGGAACUGCUGUCAUCCAGUCCCAGACCAGGGAGCCUGGUGAUGAGUUCAGUGCAAGCACCACCACCACCAUCAACAUUGUCUUUGUUGAUGACUCCAACAAUGUGGCUGAUCCCUGCACUUUCACUGUGACUGUCACCACUGAGGAUACAACUCCACCAACCGUCCAGAACUGCCCAGCGGACAUCAUCCGCACCAUUGAGAUCAACUCUGCUUCUGAGAUCCCCAUCACGUGGAUGCCACCAACGGCCACUGAUAUCUCCGGAACACAGUUCAUCAGCUCUCAGACUGCUAACGUCGGCCAGAACUUCCCCGUCGGUUCCACCGUUGUCACCUACAUCUUCUCCGAUGCCUCCGGGAAUGACGCUGACCCUUGCAGCUUCAACGUCAUCAUCCUAACUGAGGAUACUACCCCACCGACCAUCCUCAACUGCCCCAGCGACAUCACCGAGACCACGCCCCUCAACUCUGGCGGCAAGGUCAUCGUGUUUGUCGCCCCCACGGCCGUGGACAACUCCAACCAGGAGCCGACCGUCACCGUAUCCAACCAACCAAACACUUUCUUCUUCACCGGAGAGACUGUGGUGACCUACACCUUCACCGAUCAGGCCCUGAAUCCAUCCACCUGCUCUUUCACUGUGACCGUCAUCGAGGUUGACACAGAGAAACCAGUCAUUCAGAACUGCCCAUCGGACAUCAAUGUCAACACUCCUCUUGGAACCGCCUUGACCGUAGUCACCUGGCCUGCCUUGACCGUUACUGACAACUCUGGACAGACCUCCGUCCAGUCUCAGACCGCUGCCUCUGGGGAUUCUUUCCCACCAGGAAGGACGGUGGUUACCAUCGUUUACCAGGAUCCAUCAUCAAACACCGAACAGUGUCAAUUCACCGUCAUUGUUACUGAAGUCGACAACACCGAUCCAGAGAUCCUGUCUUGUCCCGAGGACAUCACUUCUGAAGUUCCUGUGGAAGCUUCCGGCGCUACCGUCACCUGGAAUGCCCCAGUGGUCACUGACAACUCCGGUAUCCCGCCAACGGUCACCAGCACCCGUCUACCAGGCACAUUCUUCCUCCGUGGAUCCACCCAGGUUACCUAUACCUUCACCGACAACUCCGGAAACCAGGUGUCCUGUUCCUUUGUUGUGUCUGUCAUCGCUGUUGACGAUGUUCCUCCAGUUGUAGUCUGUCCCGAAAACGUUGUUGAGACUAUCCUCGAGGGAGUUGACAGUGCCUACGUGACCUUCGACCUUCCAACAGUCACCGAUAACAAUGGCGCUACCAACUUUGUGUCAUCGACAGCCAGCAGCGGAGAUCCAUUCCCAGUUGGUACCACCGUUGUGACUUUCACCUACGUUGAUAACAAUAACAACGAAGCUUCGUGCAGUUUCAGCGUCACUGUCUUGACAGACACUCCUUGCUCACCCAACCCCUGUUUCAACGCCGGCGCCUGCAUCGUCAACAGCCUCACGGAGUACCAGUGCGUCUGUACCGAGUGCUUCACCGGCACCAACUGCGAGACCCAGCUGAAUGCUUGCGACAACAACCUCUGCCAGAACGGCGCCGGCUGUGUGGCCUACGAAGGCUCCUGUGACAGCUACUACUGCGAGUGUCCGUCCUGCUUCGUGGGUGUUUACUGUGAUGUCCCUGUGGACGCCUGUGAUAACCAUCAAUGUCAGAACGGAGGUGCUUGCGUCCUGGAUGAUGACACUUGCCUGUCCUACACCUGCUCUUGCCCACUCUGCUACACUGGGGAGUUCUGUCAGACCAAGGUCGAUGCUUGUGACAAUCACCAGUGUCAGAACGGUGCUGCCUGUGAACCUAAAGGAGAGCUGUGUACUGAAUACACCUGUCAGUGCUCAGGGUGCUUCACCGGAGAUCUCUGUGAUGAAGUACGUGAUCCAUGCAACCCAAGCCCAUGUCUGAACAACGCACAAUGUAAUGUCCUUGGCGACAACUGUUACUCGUACACCUGUGAGUGCGUCGGAUGUUUCACUGGCUUCAACUGCGAAGAUCCCAUCCCAUCACCAUGCGACAACAACCCAUGCCAGAAUAAUGGAGUUUGCUCGGUCAUUGCAGGAGUGUGCUCAGGCUACCAGUGCUCUUGCCCUGAAGGAUUCACUGGAGUUAACUGCGAAGAUUCCACCGUCGUGAACACCAAUCCCUGCAACAACUUCCCUUGCAGCAAUGGAGGUACUUGCACCACCAUCGAUUCCGACAACUACAACUGUCUCUGUGUCCCAGGCUAUACUGGAAUCAACUGCCAGACCCCAUCUGCCAACUCUCCGGGCCAGGACAGCUGCAACUCCUCACCUUGCCAGAAUGGAGCCACCUGUGUGAACAGCUAUGAUAGCAGCACUGGAACUGUCUUUUAUCUACCUCAGUACACAUGUAUCUGUGAGACCGGUUUCACUGGACCCAACUGUGGAUCUAGCACUGCUACCAGCCCAUCAUUGGAUGUCUGUUCCACUGGGGUGGAGCCACCCUGUCAGAAUGGAGGUACAUGUACCAACAUGUACCAGAGCUUCUCCCAAGGAAUGGAUUUCUAUUGCAGCUGCCCAAUUGGCUGGACUGGACACACCUGUGAGACACCAUCCAUCAACCCCUGUGCCAGUGGUCCUUGUGAGAAUGGUGGUGUCUGCAUGCCCUUCAACACAUACUUCCAGUGCGAUUGCCCAGAAGGUUUCUUUGGUACUACCUGCGAGGUUGCUCAGGGUGACACUGAACCACCAACCAUCUCGGACUGUCCUGAGGACAUCACUCGUACCAUCUCAUCCUCAAGUGGUAUCUCAGUUACAUGGGUAGAGCCAACAGCUACAGAUGCUGGCACCACCCAACGUCUCCUUCGCUCUCACACACCCGGAUCUUUCUUCCCUCUCGGAGACACUGCCGUCAGUUACGUCUUCACUGAUAACAGUGCCAACCUAGCAACCUGUACUUUCUACAUCACUGUCACACUGGCUGAGACGGACAACGUCCCUCCCGUUAUCCAGAACUGUCCAUCUCCCUCCGUCGCCCAGGCCCCUGCAGGUAGCACAUCCGCGGAGGUCUCCUGGAUUGUACCUUCAGCUACUGAUAACAGUGGAAUCGCUGUUACCGUCUCUAACAAUUACAACCCAGGCGACACCUUCCCGGUGGGCGAAACUGUUGUUGCCUACACCUUCACUGAUGAUGCAGGAAACCAGAAUACCUGCACUUUCUCCGUCAGAGUUGUUGUCGAAGUGGUCAACCAAUCACCAACCAUCACCUUCUGUCCCUCUGGUACCCUCACCUACUCAACCCUCGGUGCCGACAGCGUCGUCGUCAACUUCCCUGCACCAACAGCCGUAGACGAUUCUGGUUUCACACCAUCAGUCAACUCCAACUUCGUCCCUGGACAGUCCUUUGAUGUUGGCUCUUACACUGUGACUUAUACAUUCACCGAUAACAUUGGCUUGACCAGCGACUGCACCUUCAACAUCUUAGUUGUUUCUGGAGGCGAUGUAAGGCCACCAACCAUCUCAGACUGCCCUGAUGGUGCCAUCACCGCCCUCGCCGGAACUGGAGCCUCCGGCGCUUCGGUCAGCUGGACUGCCCCUACUGCUACCGACGUUUCUGGCCCAGUAACCUCCACCAGCAACUACAGCCCGGGUGCUUUCUUCCCAGUCGGUACCACGACGGUCACCUAUACCUUCACUGACCAAGUUGGCAACGAGGCUCGAUGCGUCUUCAAUGUCAUUGUGACAGGAACCAACGUCAACGAGACCCCGGCCCCAACCAACCUGGUCCUUGCCACCACCACCAACACCAUCACUGCCACCUGGACACCGCCCAACGGUGCCUUCAACAGCUACCAGCUCACCAUCAGCGGCGGUUCCAUUGUCAACACCCAGACCCUACCGCAAGCAUCCAGCUCUUAUACAGCCACCGGCCUGGAGCCUGCCACCACAUACGUCGUGACCCUGGUGGCCAAUGGUAACGCAGGUCCCAGCAACAGCAUCUCUGAAACUGCUACCACCAACCCAGAGCAAGGUCAACCACCCUCGUCACCCUCCAACGUCAACCUCGCCCCCAGCCAGACUUCCAUCACCGUUUCCUUCGAUGCUGCCUCUGGUGAUGUCACUGGCUACAACGUCGGCCUUGGUACCACGUCCAACGCAGACGAUGUGACAACGACCCUGGCCCCGGGCUCUACAACUUACACCUUUGGAAACCUUUCUCCUUCGACGCAAUACUUCGUCUCAGUCCAGGCUUUCAAUGGGUUUGGCUCAAGUCCAUCUGUUGUGCAGUCUGCAACAACAUCUGAUGUUGUCGUACCAGACACUGACAUUGUCAUCACCAACUGCCCUGUAAGCAUUGCUGCAUCCCUGCCCUUUGGAACCUAUGCUUUUGUGGACUGGGAAGAUCCAGUGGCCACCUCGCCCCUUGGUGCCGUGGACCAGACUGGCGGACCAUUCAGCUCCUCUGGUUACUUCCAGACCGGUACCUUUCCUAUCGUUUACGAGUUCCAGGAUGUCAAUGGCAACACCGCCACUUGCUCAUUCAAUGUUUAUGUUACUGAUGGCAGUGACACUACUCCCCCAGAGGUGACCUUCUGUCCCAGCAACGUUGUGGUCCAGGCUGCCUCAGGCGAGAGCAGUGCUGUAGUCACCUGGAAUGUUCCCACCGCGACCGAUGCCUCUGAACCCAUAACUUCAGUCAGCAACUACUCCCCUGGUGACUCCUUUGAUGUAGGCACCUACCUAGUUGUCUAUAACCUCAUUGAUAACGCUGGUUUAUACUCGACUUGCAGCUUUGAGGUUACUGUGACGGCAAGUGGAGUUAUCACUGAUACCGAAGACCCUGUACUGACCAACUGCCCAACUGAUAUCGUGAACAAUGCCAACCCUGGUAGCUCCUCCCUGGUGGUGUCCUGGAUAGCUCCGGAGGCCACGGACAACUCUGGCUCUGUUACCGUGACGGUCAGUACCCCGUCAGGUAGCACUUUCCCCGUCGGAACCACACAGGUCACGUACACCGCAACUGACGCCGCUGGAAACACUGAUUCCUGCAGCUUCGACAUCACUGUCCUGUCUGCUGAAGACAACACACCGCCAGUCCUGUCCAACUGCCCUUCAGACAUGACCGUCUUUGCGGCACAGAACGCCCAAGGUGCAGUAGCGGGAUGGUCAUCGCCAUCUGCCACUGACAACUCUGGGGAGAACGUGGCCAUCACCAGUGACUUUACCUCUGGAACCCUGUUCCCCAUCGGAGCCACCCUCGUGACCAUCACAGCCACAGACAGCUCUGGCAAUAUCGACACCUGUUCAUUCACAGUCACAGUCAUAGGUGCUACUGACAAUAUCGGCCCAGUCACCUCUAACUGCCCCGCAUCCCAGACGAUCACGGCCGCAGUUGGAUCCACCUCUGCUGUUGCAACCUGGACCGACCCUACCUUUACAGACAGCUCCGGCGUUGCCUCCGUCACCAGCAACUUCAACUCUGGCUCUUCCUUCCCCAUCGGUACUACCAUCGUCACUUACACCGCCACUGAUACCUUGGGUAACACCGGAGAGUGUUCUUUCAGCAUCAACGUCAUUGCUGGAACUGAUGGCACUCGACCAACCUUCAUCAACUGCCCGAGCAACAUGGAAGUAUCUGUCCCCUUCGGCAGCAGCGGAACAACCGUCACCUGGACCGAACCCACCGCUCUAGACAACAGCGGUUCAGCCACUGUGGUUGCUUCACAGACGUCUGGUACUUUCUUCAGUGUAGGGGCCACCAACGUGGUCUACACAGCCACCGAUCCUAGUGGAAAUUUCGAAACUUGCUCUUUCGUUGUAACUGUCACAGAAUUAGCACCUGUGGACGUGACCCCGCCAGAACUCCAGAACUGCCCCACCGGAAUCAGCGCCACCGUCAACCCUGGCUCAUCGUUCGCCGUCGUCACCUGGACGCCUCCCACUGCGACCGACAACCUCGGAACCCCGGUGGUCACGAGCAACUUCCCAUCAGGCUCCUCCUUCCCAAUCGGCACCACGACGGUCACCUACACCGCGGUUGACGGAAACGGUAACGACGCCUCCUGCAGCUUCGACGUGGUUGUCACAAAUGGUGCCACGAACGCAGCACCUGUUGUCACCUUCUGCCCCAACAAUGGAGCUGUUUACUUCACCGCACCAGAAGGCAGCAGUGUCAACGUUAACUUUCCUCCGCCCACGGCCACCGAUGAUUCUGGAUCCGUCACGACGACCUCCACCAAUGAACCGGGAGAUGAGUUUGCCCUAGGAGAGCACACCGUCACUUACACCUUCAGCGAUGCCCAAGGACUCACUGCAAGCUGUACCUUCUCUUUUGAAGUACAAGUUGGUGCUAACCCAUGUUCCAGUAACCCCUGUUCUCCCAGUGAGCAGUGUUUCUACAUCCCAAGUCAAUACCUCUGUAUCAACAACGGAAGGAGAAGGAGAGAAGCUGAGAUGCUUGACUUGAGCGAUGUGUGCCCAUGUGAGAAUGGUGGAAUCUGUCUCCUAGACGACGCUACAUCCUCUGCCACUUGUGAGUGUCCCGUUGGCUACACUGGUGUACUUUGUGAGAUUGACACGCUACCUGCUGCCAAUGUCAACGUCCACAACACCAACAGGUACCACGACAGUGAGAUCCAGGAAUGGUCUAGUGGAAACAGCGCCCUCUUGUGGACCGUAAUCAUCUGCAUGGCGAUUAUGCUCGUCGUCAUCAUCUCUUUGUCUGCGUUGCUUUGUUACGUUGUGCCUCGCCUCGUCACGAUCCGCCAACAUCGAAGCAAGAUAGACGAAAUCCCAAUUAUGCAAUGAAUGGAAUACUGCAAGCAAGACUUUAAUUUGCAUGUACUAUAACUUGAAUGUAUUCAUGUAUAUCGUAGAUUCUAUCGCCUAUUUUUUUGUGUCAAAUUAUUAGAAUCUGAAUUUUGUGAUGCACAUAUUCUUGUAAAAUCCUAUACAGAUUGUGUAUGUUCAUUUAUCAAAGUACUAGAUCUGACUAUUGCGAUGCACAUGUGUUUGUGAAAUUCUUUGCAAACCAUGAAUGCAUUUCACCUGUUGUUUCAUGAUUUCUUCAAAAUGGAAGUCUUGCGGCAGUAUUGUAAUGAUUAUUUCAAGUCUUUCUAACCAUGCUGUAUUGUGCUAUUCUCGUUUGUAAAUAUAUUAUUUGUGUGUAUAGUCAACCCCAAUCCAAACCUAUUAUGCAAACCUAGCAGUAGAUUUUAACAAGAUGUCUUUAGGUAAUCUUUUCAUUGUGCAAAAAAUGUGCUUUAUUUAAUCCGUUUAAUCCAUUGUUGAUAAGCCAAUGAUAUUAUACCAACCCCCCAUGUUUAAUUGAAGAAUUUAUUCUCUCCCACCGCGGUGAAUGUUUGCGUGUUCUUCCCAAAAUUUGGUACCGUGUAUUACCUUGACUUUUGCUGAAAACUUGUGUGCACUUCCAGGCGCAGAUCUAGCUGAAUUAGAAACAGAACCAUUUCAGGGGUCAUAUUUUGUUUGCACAAUAUGCUCGGCUUCAAAAUUUAUUAGUCCAAUCCAGCUGGAUCCGUGCCUGCAUUCUUAGAUCUACUUUGAUGGCUUCAAUGAUUGCCAACUGCCAAAUAAGGCUAUGAUUUGGUUGUUUUUUGGGGGGGAGAGCUCUAUGUUUAGAAGUGUUUUGGAUAUUAUUUUGCUUCAGGUAUUCUAAAAGCAAUGUCGUAGGGUGUGCUUCCCUGACUGCUGUAUUGAGUUUACUCUUCGUUUACAAGUAUUUCAAUAUCAAAGCAUUUCAGAAAUGCCAAAUAUAUCAUGUUUUAUUGCAUUCAUUUCUUUAUAUAUAAAUAUAUAUUGCAGAAUUUUAUCUUGAAUUACAGUAACUUUUUCAUGAAUUCUGUUGUUUUUAUAUAUGUUAUUUUAUCUUAAUUACAAAAUAACGGUUGCAUAGAAAAUGAAUUUAGCGACUUGUGUCUGUUUUCGUGAUGUUAUAGAUUUGAGUUUUGAAAAUAUCUCAAUUUUUGUAAUUGAAUUAAAAGUGGCCUGAUUGCA